UAUAGUUUUAAUACAAACAUUAGACCGUGGAUCUAAAAAUAGAAGUUAAAACCUCCUUAUAAACCG
rnacentral:tRNA from 1 species